rnacentral:rRNA from 1 species
CCGGCACGGGCGAGUAACACGUAUGCAAUCCACCUGUAACAGGGGGAGUAACCCGGAGAAAUCCGGACUAAUACCCCAUAAUAUGGGCGCUCCGCAUGGAGAGCCCAUUAAAGAGAGCAAUUUUGGUUACAGACGAGCAUGCGCUCCAUUAGCCAGUUGGCGGGGUAACGGCCCACCAAAGCGACGAUGGAUAGGGGUUCUGAGAGGAAGGUCCCCCACAUUGGAACUGAGACACGGUCCAA